rnacentral:tRNA from 1 species
GGGUCCGAAGCUCAAGAGGCAGAGCAGCCGCCUUUUAAGCGGACGGGUGCGGGUUCGAGCCCCGCCGGACCCA